CUUUAUUUCAUGCAUUAUGCGAGACAUUAUCGCUUAAUGUCACACGCCACACGAGAUAUCACACUUUAUGUCACGCAUUUUAUGAGACAUCACCACUUUAUAUCAUGCGUUGCACGAGAUAUCAUUGCUUUAUGUCAUGCGUUGCACGUGACAUCAUCGCUUUAUGUCACACGUUUCUGUAACUAGUAGGGAGCAAAAUGCUAGUUUACGCCAUUUCCAUCUAUAUCGGCUUUUGUUGCACCUGAAGAAUGCUUAGAAUCCGGAAACCAGAGAGCACUCUUGGAAAUAUUGGCACCCUUAAAGAUGAAUUAGACCAAAAGAUUACACACCAGUAUGCAAAGCCAAAUUAAGGGAGAACUGAUGUGCGCUUUGAAGACUUCUGACCUCUUCUUAGUUGCUUUGUGAAAUUUUUUUCAUUACUUCAGCUUGCUGAACUGUAUGGACUAGAGUUUCCCUGUAUUUUUUAUUGGUGCAAUUUAUUUGUAUUAUGCAUUCUUCAUAAAUGGAUUGUGGCCCUUGCACCUAA